AUUGAACGCUGGCGGCAUGCCUUACACAUGCAAGUCGAACGGCAGCACGGGAGCAAUCCUGGUGGCGAGUGGCGAACGGGUGAGUGAUAUAUCGGAACGUGCCCAGUCGUGGGGGAUAACGCAGCGAGAGCUGUGCUAAUACCGCAUACGAUCUAUGGAUGAAAGCGGGGGAUCGCAAGACCUCGCGCGAUUGGAGUGGCCGAUAUCAGAUAGGUAGUUGGUGGGGUAAAGGCUCACCAAGCCGACGAUCUGUAGCUGGUCUGAGAGGACGACCAGCCACACUGGAACUGAGACACGGUCCAGACUCCUACGGGAGGCAGCAGUGGGGAAUUUUGGACAAUGGGCGCAAGCCUGAUCCAGCAAUGCCGCGCGCAGGAUGAAGGCCUUCGGGUUGUAAACUGCUUUUGUACGGAGCGAAACGGUCUACUCUAAUACAGUGGGCUAAUGACGGUACCGUAAGAAUAAGCACCGGCUAACUACGUGCCAGCCGCCGCAGUAA
rnacentral:rRNA from 1 species